rnacentral:rRNA from 1 species
AUUGAACGCUGGCGGCAGGCCUAACACAUGCAAGUCGAGCGGAUGAGGAGAGCUUGCUCUCUGAUUUAGCGGCGGACGGGUGAGUAAUGCCUAGGAAUCUGCCUGGUAGUGGGGGAUAACGUUCCGAAAGGAACGCUAAUACCGCAUACGUCCUACGGGAGAAAGCAGGGGACCUUCGGGCCUUGCGCUAUCAGAUGAGCCUAGGUCGGAUUAGCUAGUUGGUGAGGUAAUGGCUCACCAAGGCUACGAUCCGUAACUGGUCUGAGAGGAUGAUCAGUCACACUGGAGCUGAGAAACGGUCCAGACUCCUACGGGAGGAAGCAGUGGGGAAUAUUGGACAAUGGGCGAAAGCCUGAUCCAGCCAUGCCGCGUGUGUGAAGAAGGUCUUCGGAUUGUAAAGCACUUUAAGUUGGGAGGAAGGGCAGUAAGUUAAUACCUUGCUGUUUUGACGUUACCGACAGAAUAAGCACCGGCUAACUUCGUGCCAGCCGCCGCGGUAAUAC